AAAGCCUUAGCUUAGUCAAAGUACCUGUUUUGCAUGCAGGAGAUGUGGGGUAGUAUCCCGCAGGUUUUA
rnacentral:tRNA from 1 species